rnacentral:rRNA from 1 species
UACGUAGGGCGCAAGCGUUAUCCGGAAUUAUUGGGCGUAAAGAGCUCGUAGGCGGUUUGUCGCGUCUGCCGUGAAAGUCCGGGGCUUAACCCCGGAUCUGCGGUGGGUACGGGCAGACUAGAGUGCAGUAGGGGAGACUGGAAUUCCUGGUGUAGCGGUGAAAUGCGCAGAUAUCAGGAGGAACACCGAUGGCGAAGGCAGGUCUCUGGGCAGUAACUGACGCUGAGGAGCGAAAGCGUGGGGAGCGAACAGG